rnacentral:rRNA from 1 species
GAUGAACGCUGGCGGCGUGCCUAAUACAUGCAAGUCGAGCGAACGGACGAGAAGCUUGCUUUUCUGAUGUUAGCGGCGGACGGGUGAGUAACACGUGGAUAACCUACCUAUAAGACUGGGAUAACUUCGGGAAACCGGAGCUAAUACCGGAUAAUAUUUUGAACCGCAUGGUUAAAAAGUGAAAGACGGUCUUGCUGUCACUUAUAGAUGGAUCCGCGCUGCAUUAGCUAGUUGGUAAGGUAACGGCUUACCAAGGCAACGAUGGAUAGCCGACCCGAGCGCGAGGACGGCCACACUGGAACUGAGACUGGGUCCAGACUCCGAAGGGAGGCAGCAGUAGGGAAUCCUACGCAAUGGGCGAAAGCCUGACGGAGCAACGCCGCGUGAGUGAUGAAGGUCUUCGGAUCGUAAAACUCUGUUAUUAGGGAAGAACAUAUGUGUAAGUAACUGUGCACAUCUUGACGGUACCUAAUCAGAAAGCCACGGCUAACUACGUG